GCUGACACAUCCCGGCCAAUCUCCGGCAGACCCUCCCUCCCAGACCCUCCUACUUCCUGGACAGCAUCCAUGUUGAAGGCAGCUUCAACAUGGAUGCUGUCCAGGAGGUGGGAGGGUCUAGGAGGGAGGGUCUGCUGGAGAUUGGCUGGGAUGUGUCAG